CCUUAUAUGUUAUUAUUUGAAUUUAUCUGACUAGGUGCGGCGCGACUAGGACGUUACUUUUGAUUGAAUUACUCAAAGUUUACCUUCAAGUUCAAAUUCAGGUGUGGGAUUUAUUUCAGUACAUGCCGUGGUUAAUUGUUGUCCAUUUUAAUAUUAUGUGUUUGCCAUAUGUGUUGUAAAUUCAGUUAUAUCGCUAGGGGCCCGCUCAAUGGGUCCAGGACUUCACCGUCCUUGGUAUGCCACAAUGCGAUUUCAUGUUACAGUUAGGGUUGCAACCUAUUCGCCAGGGGCCUACUCAAUGGGUCCAGGACUUUAAAGUCCUUGGUAUGCCACCGUGCGAAUUUCAGUUAUCAGUACAGUGCAGUGCGUAUUUUGACGUUGGAGACGCGUGGAAGGUCGAAUGGGCGCAUCGAGAUUCAAGACAUUUAUCAAGUAGUUGAUUUGAUUUUCAACUAAUUUAAGUAUUUAAAGUUUUGCUUAGCACAAGUUUUACCUAAUACCUGGAUAUUUUGAUGACAUCUUUAUGUCAUGCUUUGAAAUAAGAGGUUGAUUGUCGAUUUUUAAAUCAAAGUUAGCCUUUGAGUACAUUAUUUAAAAGUUUAAUUUUUUUUAGGGUUUGCUCCCUUUGAAGUGUUUUCAAAAUAUUUUAUUUAAAAAUUUAUUUAUUUGAUAAUAAAUCCAAAUCUUUAUUUUAUGAUAUUUCCGCUGUCAAAAAUUAUUUACAUUCAUAUUUAAUACGUUAAUUAGAUUAGGGUGUUACAGCAUGGUAUCAGAGCAGGUCUACUUUCCUGUAGACUCUGCAAAAUAAAA